GGGGAAUAUUGGACAAUGGGCGCAAUCCUGAUCCAGCCAUGCCGCGUGAGUGAUGAAGGCCUUAGGGUUGUAAAGCUCUUUCGCCAGGGACGAUAAUGACGGUACCUGGAUAAGAAGCCCCGGCUAACUCCGUGCCAGCAGCCGCGGUAAUACGGGGGGGGUAAGCGUUGUUCGGAAUUACUGGGCGUAAAGGGCUCGUAGGCGGCCAACUAAGUCAUACGUGAAAUCCCUCAGCUUAACUGGGGAACUGCGUGUGAUACUGGAUGGCUUGGAUUUGGGAGAGGGAUGCGGAAUUCCAGGUGUAGCGGUGAAAUGCGUAGAUAUCUGGAGGAACACCGGUGGCGAAGGCGGCAUCCUGGACCAAUAUUGACGCUGAGGAGCGAAAGCCAGGGGAGCAAA
rnacentral:rRNA from 1 species